CAAUAUCCUUGAAUUUAAAUAGGCAGUAGAAGCUGAAUAUUGAGUGAAAUCUGUCAGAGAGGACUCAAAGAAAGGGCAAAGAUGGGCAGGUGGGGUUAUCAUGGAGCUCUCCUCUCCACCUGCGGCAGGGGCACAGUGGGCUUCAGUGGCUCAGAAGAGCAGCCCAGCAUGCAGCUGUGCUUCCUGAAAGCCUCUGGGAAUAAGGCUUUGCUCACCUGCCUGCACAUAAUGCAGACUGAGAGCACACAACUGCUCUGCUGUGGGACUGACUGAAUGACCUGGGGUUUGAUGAAUUGUGAUUUAAUUCAACAGCUCCUGACAAGGUCAGAGGCAGCAUCCUCUGCAGCCACAGAGAGGAAUGCCAUUGCUGUCCCUGUCCCUGCACCAAGAGGAUUAGCAGAUGGAGACAACUCCUAUGCACUUUUAACUGGCAAAGGUUCCAGAAAUAUCUGGCACACGAGGAUUCCACAGCCACCCUCAUCGAUCCCCUGCCACCACUUAAUUGAAUUAUAACACCAUAAAUAAUCUGGAGGGUAUCUCAGAGGUACCCCAUAAAAUUUUCAGGGAUGCUGCCUGGCAGGUGACCUAUUUGGAGAGGUGCAGACAGGUUUCUUGGGAUUUUCUUCAAACUCAUUAUCUCAGUAUUUCCUGAUGUGUCUUUACUGCAAAAGCAUUAACCAUUAAAAAAAAAACCAAAAAGUACUAUUUAAUUUCUGCACAGCUGGUCCCAAACCAAAUUCCCAAUGAGGAGAGGUAUUGAUCAGAUAAACUUCAGGAACUGAAAGCUCCAAGACAGCAAAGCCUUUUCAAAUGUGGAUCUGAAUUUUGCAGCUGAAGACCAUCUCCUGACAGUGAAUGGAUUAAGGAGAUUGUUCAGGGAGCCAAAUGAAGAAGGCACUUAUUGCCAAGUACCUUCUGGCAUCCACAGACAUAAUCUCCUGAAAAAGAUUUUCACCACAAAGAGAUGCUUCACAUAUGCAUCCAGAAACACAAUUGCUUAUCUGAAUUAAAAAUUCCAGGGCAUUAAGGCUAAUCUAUUGGCAGCACUGGACCUGCACUUCAGAUAGAUGGAGUGUUUUUGCUGUAUUGUAGUCCUGCAUCCACUCAAAGGAAGGCAUUCAGAGAACUGCUCUUCUCCUUGCUCGCCCUGCUGCAGAGUGCAUGCCUGCCCUGCUUGGGGGACAAUAGAUGAGAGUGGAGUAAACUGUAUGCCAGCUGUAUGCUGAGUGCUAUUGUAUUAAGCAGAGCUCUGCAAAGCACAUACAGUCUCAUGAGGGGUGAGAGCUGAGCCUUGUCCUCACACACCUUCAAUUAAAUGGCUCUGUGCACGGAGUGCCAGCACCACACCAAAGCCCAGUGCUGCCAGGGCAGGUGGUGGCAGCAGGUUCCCAGGAGCCAGCUGCUAACACUAAGAAAACAGAUGCAAAGAAACCCAAAACAACCCUCUGAGCCCAAAUUUCUGAUUAAAUACCACUGAAGGUUCUCAUGUAAACCGUUCCACACCAAGGCAUGAGGGAGGUGUGCAGAGCACCAGAAGGCCCCACUUGGAGUGUGGCUGCAAUUACUCUGCCUUCAACCAGGAGAGGGAAGAAGUGUUCCCACAGGAAUGACUACGUCAGGACAAGGCAACCAAACACAGGAUGGCUUAGAAGAAGACAGAGCCUGCAGUGACAAUACCCAUCAUUCAUCCCAAUCCCCAACUCAUGGGUUCCUGCUUGUCUCUACAUUUCUGCUAUGUCUCCACUGAAGUUCAUCACUGGGAGACCUGAAGUGUUCAUCCACCAUAAGACUGUAGAAUCAUUUGAGAUGGAAGGGAUCUUGGAAGGGUCAUCUAGUCCAACUCCCCUACCACAAAUGAGGAUACCUACAGCUACCUCAGGUUGCCCAGAGCCUGGUCCAGUCUGACCUUGGUUGUGUCCAGGGACAGAGCAUCAGCCACCUCUCUGGGAACCUGUUCCACCAUGUACAAAGCUCCUGUCCAACCAUCAGAAGCCAAACCCAGGGCCAGAGCUACAUGCCUCAUUGCCAGCUGCAGAUGCAGCUCAGCAUUUUCAGUUCCAAAGGUUUUUCUGUUGUAAUAUAGGACAGAGUGAACAGUGAUUUAAGCUUGUUAACUGAUUCCAGGCUGCUUUAUCUACUCCAGCGUUGCAAUUUCAGGUGUCUAGUUAACCUCUGUACCAUGGCAGGGUUUGUAGCAGACAAAAUCUUCCUUUCCAAAGCUUCAGCAACUCCUGGCACGCGACAGGGGCUCAUUAUAGGACUGACCUGCACAGAGAGAAGACAGCUCCAAGCACAAAUUCCACCUAUUCAAUUAUCCCCACCCUGCAUCAAGCCAUGAAGCAGGAGGAGGGUGCAGGAGGAUGCACGGUGCUCUGGGUACCUCACCAGCUUUGGAGACAUCUGAAUGUGCUCAGCACCUCCUCAGGGUAGUGAAAUCCCAUCGCUGCCUCUGUGCUCUGCAUCACCAAAUUCCCAAUAGCAACUGGGUCAGCACCAUCUGUCCCAUAAAGGAGAAUGUAAACUGGGUUACAAGUGGGAAAAAAAAAUACAGUCAUCCUAUUAAAGAAAGUGAAGUUGCGAGCCUUCAAGUGAACAGAAUGCCUUAUGCUUAUGACAUUCAUUUAUUUUGGAAAUUAUAUGGGAAGAUUUCAGAGAAGAGAAAGUUAAGUUUCACCUGCUUUGAGAGUGCAUGAGAAGAGGAAUACAAUGUUUUAAUUAAACGUAUUUAUACAACAGAGUCUGGCAGAGCAUAUUUCUCCUGUUGUUGAGAAAACAAUAGCAUUCUCCCCUCUUUUGUUACACUACCUAGGAAAAUGAAUAAUUUUCUUUAUCCGUUGUUUUAAUAAAAUGUUUAUAUUUUUAUCAAUACGAAACGUCAGAUCGAACCGCGUAGCUAUUAGCUUUGGAGUAAUCAUAAUAUUACCCACAGCUGUAUUCAAAGCACAAAAAGAACAUAAUAGUGUUAACUAUAAUUAGAUUAUUUUUCCAGAGAGUUGGAGCGAUUCAUUGCAGUAGCAGAGGUUUGCACAAAGAGCUGCUUUGCUGAAAACCUCAAAUACCUCUACGCGAAAUGGACUUGGAGAAUUCACUUCCCUUUGUGCCUGGGUUUUAAUUAUUGUCUUUUUUUUUUCCUUGGUAAUGCACGGAUUCUAAUUAUCACAUUUUAAUGAUAUAAUAGAUGAUUUAAUAGUCAAACAUGGUCUCAGAGUACUGCAUUAGCUUACCCCACUCUGCUCUGAACCUCCUGGAUCUGCAGCACAUAGCACAGCAGCUCUUGAGUACCACCAUUACCUUCUAUGUGGCCAACGUGCAUUUCUCCAGAGAAAAUUUCCUUUCCACACCACGUUCAGCAUCAUUCCCAACACUGUUUCAAGCAGAAUUCAGGACAGGUGUUUCACUCCUACCCUCCAAACAGAUGGCACAACACUCUUGCUCAAAUAGCUAUCUGUUAGCACACUACAGGGUUAAAAACAUUGAAUCCAACAUUUGAAGGCUGUAUCUUCCUGCCUCAAAACAGGCAGGCUAUCACAAGAAAUCAUAUCACUGAUUUUAUCAGUUAUUUCUUAGCAAGCAGGUAUCAUGGCUUAAAUCACUUCUACUUCAGAAGGUCUCUGCAGAGUUUGUUGUCUUUUUUCACACCUGAGAUCUGUGUCCUAAUGGAUGUUUCACAGAUGACUCAUCUGGCAUCUGAAGCAGAGACUGAAGCCUUUAUUGACCUGUUUGGUAGGAAGUCAGUGUUGAUCAUCAUCGUAUCUGACAAGUUUUAAGGAAUCCCAGAUAAAUGGAUGUUGAUAAACUACUUGCUGUUAUACAUCUGGCACUUUUGGAUGUACAGGAUUUAUAGCAGCUGUUUCACCUCCAGUUUCUUGGAAAUUAAAAGAAACUUAGGAAAUCUUGAAAUACAAGGUAACUUCAACUGUAAUUUAAAGGACACUGCACAGUUCAAUGGCCAUUUUGCUAUGGAUGUGAUACCCUUUUUGGGAACGAUAUUGACUUCCAGUCAUAAAGACCUUUUCAUUUCCUAGGAUGUACGCAAAGUGCUAGUUAAAUAAACUGCUCUACUAAUCAAUAUAGUUCUGUACAGCUGGCCUGGAGAGUGUGAAAUAAAUGCUGGUGUACUCC
ensembl:lncRNA